AACGAACGCUAGCGGCAUGCCUAACACAUGCAAGUCGAACGAGACCUUCGGGUCUAGUGGCGCACGGGUGCGUAACGCGUGGGAACCUGCCCUUAGGUUCGGAAUAACUCCCCGAAAGGGGUGCUAAUACCGGAUAAUGUCUUCGGACCAAAGAUUUAUCGCCUUUGGAUGGGCCCGCGUUGGAUUAGCUAGUUGGUAGGGUAAAAGCCUACCAAGGCGACGAUCCAUAGCUGGUCUGAGAGGAUGAUCAGCCACACUGGGACUGAGACACGGCCCAGACUCCUACGGGAGGCAGCAGUGGGGAAUAUUGGACAGUGGGCGAAAGCCUGAUCCAGCAAUGCCGCGUGAGUGAUGAAGGCCUUAGGGUUGUAAAGCUCUUUUACCCGGGAUGAUAAUGACAGUACCGGGAGAAUAAGCGCCGGCUAACUCCGUG
rnacentral:rRNA from 1 species